rnacentral:misc_RNA from 1 species
GAUGAAGAACGCAGCGAAAUGCGAUAAGUAAUGUGAAUUGCAGAAUUCAGUGAAUCAUCGAAUCUUUGAACGCACCUUGCGCCCCUUGGUUAUUCCAAAGGGCAUGCCUGUUUGAGUAUCAUGAACACCUCAACUCUUGUGGUUUCCCACAAUGAGCUUGGACUGUGGAGGUUUUGUUGGCCCUGUGGUCAGCUCCUCUCAAAUGGAUCAGCUUACCGGUGUUUGGUGGCAUUACGGGUGUGAUAACUAUCUACGCUCGUGGUCGUCUCCAAAUAACCUCCAGUGAUGGAGGUUCGCUGGAGCUUAUAAAUGUCUCUCCCCGGUGAAGACAGCCUUUGAACGUUCGAUCUCAAAUCAGGUAGGACUACCCGCUGAACUUAAGCAUAUCAAUAAGCGGAGGA